UGUAUCCUGAAGAGUCACCGGUGUGGAGCUUGUGAUUGUGACAAAGAGAUUGUUUGUUUUAACAUACUCACCGAGGAAAAAUUAGAACAUACAGAUAUGCAGUUAAGUAUCACCGAUAUCCUAAGUACUCAGGGAUGAACAUGUUAACAUUUCUAUGAAGAAACUUCCCAAUAUUUCAGGAGUAGUAAAGACGGUGGCUGCUGGGAGAAAAGUGUGAAAGGGGGAAAUGAACCUGGAGCUAAGGUUCUUUGGUGGAAAUAAAGCUUCCAAAAACAGACACUAAAUUAGGAACCAGGAGCACAUCUCAUUCUGAAAAUGGAGUCUCUCCUGUUAAGGCUACCAACUUGAAGAAUCUCCUGCCGGUAAGAGAUGGGACAAUUUGCACAUCUAUAGAAAUAAUAACAGCAAUAAA